AGAGUUUGAUCCUGGCUCAGGAUUAACGCUGGCGGUAUGCCUAAUACAUGCAAGUCGUGCGGGGAGAUUUAUCUCCUAGCGGCGAACGGGUGAGUAACACGUACCUAACUUACCCCAAUGACUGGGAUAACUGAGGGAAACUUCAGCUAAUACCGGAUAGGAUCUUUGAAGGCAUCUUCUUAGGUUUAAAGGUGGGUUUCCAUCACGUUGGGAUAGGGGUGCGCAGCAUUAGCUUGUUGGUGAGGUAACGGCUCACCAAGGCAACGAUGCUUAGCCGGUCUGAGAGGACGAACGGCCACACUGGAACUGAGACACGGUCCAGACUCCUACGGGAGGCAGCAGUAGGGAAUUUUCCACAAUGGGCGAAAGCCUGAUGGAGCAAUACCGCGUGAAGGAUGAAGGUUUUAGGAUUGUAAACUUCUGUUAUAGAGGAAGAAAAAUACCGGUAGGAAAUGAUCGGUGUCUGACGUUACUUUAUCAGAAAGAGACGGCUAACUACGUGCCAGCAGCCGCGGUAAUACGUAGGGUGCGAGCGUUAAUCGGAAUUACUGGGCGUAAAGCGUGCGCAGGCGGUUAUAUAAGACAGAUGUGAAAUCCCCGGGCUCAACCUGGGAACUGCAUUUGUGACUGCAAGGCUAGAGUACGGUAGAGGGGGAUGGAAUUCCGCGUGUAGCAGUGAAAUGCGUAGAUAUGCGGAGGAACACCGAUGGCGAAGGCAAUCCCCUGGACCUGUACUGACGCUCAUGCACGAAAGCGUGGGGAGCAAACAGGAUUAGAUACCCUGGUAGUCCACGCUGUAAACGAUGAAUGUUAAAUAUGGGAAAUUUAUUUUCUGUAUUACAGCUAACGCGUUAAACAUUCCGCCUGGGGACUACGGUCGCAAGAUUAAAACUCAAAGGAAUUGACGGGGACCCGCACAAGCGGUGGAUGAUGUGGUUUAAUUCGAUGCAACGCGAAAAACCUUACCUACCCUUGACAUGUCAGGAACCCUGAAGAGAUUUGGGGGUGCCCGAAAGGGAGCCUGAACACAGGUGCUGCAUGGCUGUCGUCAGCUCGUGUCGUGAGAUGUUGGGUUAAGUCCCGCAACGAGCGCAACCCUUGUCAUUAGUUGC
rnacentral:rRNA from 1 species